GACGAACGCUGGCGGCGUGCUUAACACAUGCAAGUCGAACGAUGAAGAAAAGAAUUGAAGCUUCGGCAGAAAUUCAUUUCGGAUUAGUGGCAGACGGGUGAGUAACGCGUGAUCAACCUACCUCUUACAAAGGGAUAGCCUCGGGAAACCGGGAUUAAUACCAUAUAACAUUGCGACGAAGCAUUUCGAUGCAAUCAAAGCUACGGCGGUAAGGGAUGGGCUCGCGUCCCAUUAACCAGAUGGUGAGGUAACGGCUCACCAUAGUAACGAUGGGUAACCGGGCUGAGAGGGUGAACGGUCACACUGGAACUGAGACACGGUCCAGACUACUACGGGAGGCAGCAGUGGGGAAUAUUGCAAAAUGGAGGGAACUCAGAUGCAGCGACGCCGCGUGAGUGAUGAAGGAAUUCGUUUCGUAAAACUCUGUUCUAUGGGAAGAAAAGGACUGUACCAUAGGAGAAAGCUCCGGCUAAAUACGUG
rnacentral:rRNA from 1 species